UACGGCCAUAGCGCGUAGAAACACCGGUUUCAUCCGAUCACCGAAGUUAAGCAAUGUUAAACCUGGUCAGUACUCGGAAGGGUGACCGCAGGAGAAUAUCAGAUAUUGUAA
rnacentral:rRNA from 1 species